rnacentral:misc_RNA from 1 species
AAACUUGCAAACCCACUUUAUACAGAGUGGAUUCUUGAAGCUAUACAGAAAAUAAAAAAGCAAAAGCAAAGGCCCUCUGAAGAGAGAAUCUGCCAUGCGGUCAGUACUUCCCAUGGGUUGGAUAAGAAGACAGUCUCUGAACAGCUGGAACUCAGUGUUCAGGAUGGCUCAGUUCUCAAAGUCACCAACAAAGGCCUUGCCUCCUAUAAGGACCCAGACAACCCUGGGCGCUUUUCAUCAGUUAAACCAGGCACUUUUCCUAAGUCAGCCAAGGGGUCUAGAGGAUCAUGUAAUGAUCUCCGCAAUGUGGAUUGGAAUAAACUUUUAAGGAGAGCAAUUGAAGGACUUGAGGAGCCGAAUGGCUCCUCCCUGAAGAACAUAGAGAAGUAUCUCAGAAGUCAAAGUGAUCUCACAAGCACCACCAACAACCCAGCCUUUCAGCAGCGGCUGCGACUGGGGGCCAAACGCGCUGUGAAUAAUGGGAGGUUACUGAAAGACGGACCGCAGUACAGGGUCAAUUAUGGGAGCUUAGAUGGCAAAGGGGCACCUCAGUAUCCCAGUGCAUUCCCAUCCUCGCUCCCACCUGUCAGCCUUCUACCCCAUGAGAAAGACCAGCCCCGUGCUGAUCCCAUUCCAAUAUGUAGCUUCUGUUUGGGGACUAAAGAAUCAAAUCGUGAAAAGAAACCAGAAGAACUCCUCUCUUGUGCAGAUUGUGGCAGUAGUGGACACCCAUCCUGUUUGAAAUUUUGUCCUGAAUUAACAACAAAUGUAAAGGCCUUAAGGUGGCAGUGCAUCGAAUGCAAGACAUGCAGUGCCUGUAGAGUCCAAGGCAGAAAUGCUGGAUGUGGAUUUGCCAAGUCUGCAGACC